CCUACGGGAGGCUGCAGUGGGGAAUAUUGCACAAUGGGGGGAACCCUGAUGCAGCGACGCCGCGUGGGUGAAGGAGUAUUUCGGUAUGUAAAGCUCUAUCAGCAGGGAAGAACACUGACGGUACCUGACUCAGAAGCACCGGCUAAAUACGGGCCAGCAGCCGCGGUAAUACGUAUGGUGCAAGCGUGAUCCGGAUUUACUGGGUGGAAAGGGAGCGCAGGCGGCGCGUUAAGCCUGGUGUGAAAGCCCGCGGCCCAACCGCGGGACUGCAUUGGGAACUGGCGCGCUGGAGUGCCGGAGGGGGAGGCAGAAUUCCUAGUGUAGCGGUGAAAUGCGUAGAUAUGAGGAGGAACACCAGAGGCGAAGGCGGCCUACUGGACGGUGACUGACGCUGAGGCUCGAAAGCGUGGGGAGCAAACAGGAUUAGAUACCCGAGUAGUC
rnacentral:rRNA from 1 species